CAAGAGACACACAGAAACCUUUUUGCCCUUCCUUGAGAAGUCAAUUUAGAGAGUCGGAGAGAUAUGGCCUCACCAAAGACAGUUUGGUACUUUAGUGUCCUCUUGGUAUUUUGCUGUAGUCUGGAAAAACAAGAUUGCUUGGAAACUCCAAAUGUAACAUCAGAGGAAUCACCCACUGAUGGAUCGCAAGUUCCUUCUGGAGAAAAGCAAGAGGGUGAGUCAGC